GGGCCCGUUCCUGGAUUUGACGGGGUGGCGAAGGAUAAGUAAGCAUGCAGUGCGUUGUACGGAGAGCACUUAAAUCUGAACGUUCAAACAAUAAUUGGCGAAAAUAACUACGCCUUAGCUGCCUAAUUUAGAAUUACGCAAGCUUUUGUUCCGCUGGCCCUCGCGAGAUUGGGUUAGCAUCAGGAGCAUCGAACAAAUGUCGCUGGCCGCUGCAGGGUGUGAUGCAGGGGUAAGAACAAACACCUAAGGAAGAAGGUUAAGGCGCUUUUCCGGUCUGCCCCUUCCCGACAACCAAACGGAAAAUAAGCAUGUAGAAAGCUUGUUUUAUCUCACAACCGGACAAGGGUUCGACUCCCUUCGGGUCCACAA
rnacentral:tmRNA from 1 species